CUCUGUUCAAGGAACUUUGGAAGGCGUGGAAGUGCUGGCCUCGGCUCCUGUCUGGAAGGCGGCUCAGAGGCCGAGAGCAGGGAAGGGGCGGGGUAGGGACCCAGGAAAGGACGCUCUUUUUCCAAGAGGAGUGGGAGUAGGUGGUCGAUAAACGGCCCUGCGUCUUCUCUGCAGCGAGAAGACACUCGGCUAAAAGACCCAGGAUAGACAACCUCCAGGAGGCCCUUUUUAAAGGCAAGUGGUGACUACUGGUUUCACCUGGCUCCUGGCCUGAGUCCUGUGCUCACAGCUUCCAGGAGAGCAGGCAUCUCCAUGUAGAGUCCAGGUGAUAUGGGAAUUCUGACCUGCAGAGGCGAAGAGCUUUGAAAAUGCAUACAUUGCUGUAGAAAUGUUAUUUCAAAGUCUUUUUUUAUUCAACUGUUAUUCAGCAAUAUACAAUACAGUUUAUAAACAAAUGUCUUACCUUGUUUCCAAUCUUUAUUUAAAAAUAAAUAUUAUUGACAGUGAAUAUUAA